rnacentral:lncRNA from 1 species
UUUUAAUUACAUGUAUUGCACUACCGUAAAUUUUUUUCAACUGGUAUCAGAGCUAGGUUGUUUUGAUAUGAAUUAAUAUGAUUUUAGAUCUAAUUUUUUAUUAUUAGAUUUAAUUAUUUAUGAUUUAGAUUAGAUCUAAAUUAGUUUAUUUUUAUAUCUGAUUAUUAUUUAUUUAGAUUAGAUGUUCUGAGUAGCAAAGUACUCGGAUUGAAUAAUCACCAGGCCAUCCGAUCAUAGGAGCAAGUAGGUUUUCAUGAUCCUCUCUUCUCAUUCAAUGGGGUGCUCUUCAUGAUGUGUAGGGGUGCCACUGUGAGAUCCCAUGAAGAAGAAAGUGAAAAGAGAAAACUUACUUUCUUAUAAAAUCAUAGAUCUUGAAACCUUAGGUGUU